rnacentral:tRNA from 1 species
CGGAAAUAAAGGAAACGUAUCUUGACUUUUAAUCAAGUUGUCCGGGGUUCGAAUCCCCGAUGUCUCA